rnacentral:rRNA from 1 species
GUUGUAUGGUUAAGUGACUAAGCGUACACGGUGGAUGCCUUGGCAGUCAGAGGCGAUGAAGGACGUAUUAACUUGCGAUAAGCCCAGAUUAGGUAGUAAAAACCAUUUGAGUCUGGGAUUUCCGAAUGGGGAAACCCACUUGCAUAAGCAAGUAUCGCUGCGUGAAUACAUAGCGCAG